UACGUAGGGACCAAGCGUUGUUCGGAAUUACUGGGCGUAAAGGGCUCGUAGGUGGCCAACUAAGUCGGACGUGAAAUCCCUCAGCUUAACUGGGGAACUGCGUCCGAUACUGGAUGGCUCGAGUUUGGGAGAGGGAUGCGGAAUUCCAGGUGUAGCGGUGAAAUGCGUAGAUAUCUGGAGGAACACCGGUGGCGAAGGCGGCAUCCUGGACCAACACUGACACUGAGGAGCGAAAGCCAGGGGAGCAAACGGG
rnacentral:rRNA from 1 species